GGGGCAGCAUUAGUUUCGACGAGAAUAAUAAUUAUUAAGGAGCAAGUCGUAGGUAUGCGUUAAAUCCAAAUUUAAAAAUAACUGGAAACAGAAAUCAAUUAGCUUUCGCUUAAUAUAAAGAAGGCACUCCUUUAUUUUCUUACUCAUGGAAAAUAUAUGGGGUUCGUUUAGUGAGUUAUAUUAUUAAAGGUAUUCCUAACUUUAAUAAUGAACUAUAUAGGAAUUACUAAAUGUAAUUUGGCUGGUUUAUUAUCAUUUAGGACAACAACAAACCAACUAAACUUGUAGAACUUUAAUAGUUGUGUUUUCGGACAGGAGUGCAACUCUCCUCUGCUCCACCA
rfam:Acholeplasma sp. CAG:878 genomic scaffold, scf4